rnacentral:lncRNA from 1 species
GCAUUGCAGCAUCCUGGAGUCCUCUCGCCAAGUUUCCAUUGCAUCACUUUGCUGGUUGAAUGGGAAGGGUCAGGAUAAUCCAACGUCUCUGCCUCCUUCCUUCUUCUAUCCUGCCAAUCCCUACACCAGGGAACACUUAACCCAUACCUGCAGGCAUCCCAGGUUCUAAGAGAGACUCCUAAGCAGGAGAUAUACAGGUAUUUUGUACCGCUGUGCAGUGGGGAAAAAACCAAGGACUUGAUUCCAGAAGACCUGGGUUUGAAUCUGGACUCUUACUGGAAAGUCAGAAGAUUUAGACCUGAAAGGCCUUCUAACGUGUUCUGUUCCUUUUGA